rnacentral:rRNA from 1 species
CACUGGUACUCGAGUGGCGAACGGGUGAGUAACACGUGGGUGAUCCGCCUUGCACUUCGGGAUAAGCUUGGGAAACUGGGUCUAAUACCGGAUAGGAACCGUCUUUAGUGUGGUGGUUGGAAAGUUUUUUCGGUGCAAGAUGAGCUCGCGGCCUAUCAGCUUGUUGGUGGGGUAAUGGCCUACCAAGGCGUCGACGGGUAGCCGGCCUGAGAGGGUGUACGGCCACAUUGGGACUGAGAUACGGCCCAG